GACGAACGCUGGCGGCGUGCUUAACACAUGCAAGUCGAACGAAGUGGCGAACGGGUGAGUAACGCGUAAUCAACCUGCCCUUCAGAGGGGGACAACAGUUGGAAACGACUGCUAAUACCGCAUACUGAAGGAGGGGAUUGCGUCUGAUUAGCUAGUUGGGGGGGUAACGGCCCACCAAGGCGAUGAUCAGUAGCCGGGUUGAGAGGGUGAACGGCAAAAUUGGGACUGGAAAACGGGCCAGACUCCUACGGGAGGCAGCAGGGGGGAAUCUUCCGAAAUGGACGGAAGGCUGACGGAGCAACGCCGCGUGAGUGAUGACGGCCUUCGGGUUGUAAAGCUCUGUUAAUCGGGACGCGGUACCGGAAUAGAAAGCCACGGCUAACUACGUGCCAGCCGCCGCGGUAAUAC
rnacentral:rRNA from 1 species